GGGAAGGUGGCUCAGUGGUAGAGUGCUUGCCUUGUAUGCAUGAGGUUCGAUUCCUUUGUA
rnacentral:tRNA from 1 species